rnacentral:rRNA from 1 species
UAGAGUUUGAUCCUGUCUCAGGACGAACGCUGGCGGCGUGCCUAAUACAUGCAAGUCGAGCGAACCAAAAGGAGCUUGCUCCUUUUGGUUAGCGGCGGACGGGUGAGUAACACGUGGGCAACCUGCCUGUAAGACUGGGAUAACUUCGGGAAACCGGAGCUAAUACCGGAUAAUCCUUUUCCUCUCAUGAGGAAAAGCUGAAAGUCGGUUUACGCUGACACUUACAGAUGGGCCCGCGGCGCAUUAGCUAGUUGGUGAGGUAACGGCUCACCAAGGCGACGAUGCGUAGCCGACCUGAGAGGGUGAUCGGCCACACUGGGACUGAGACACGGCCCAGACUCCUACGGGAG